CCAAACACCAAGAUAUUUGAAAAAGAUAAUCAGAAUCAGAGAAGAAUCAGAAUCUCUUUAUUGUCAUUGCACAUGGUGCAACGAAAUUUAAAAAGUCAAUCCAACGGUGCGAUUCACAAGAACAAUUUUAAAAAUAUAAAAAAGGGUAAAAAUAUAUAUACAUACAAAA